AUGAGGGGUUUUAGUGUCUGUCUUUCAGAUAUCUAUCUUUACUCAGACCAUAACUCAAGGAAAAAACUUGCCGAUGAAGUUAAUCUGGCACUGGAUGAUGCUAAAGAGGCUUUUCAUAUUGAACAACUAUUGCUAAGUCCAAAUUCUAUACUUAAUUUGAAGUGUUAUGAUGACUGUGCUGAUCUCUCAAAUGCUUAUGAACAGUCUGAGUUCAUGCAGAACAAUCUAUCAAUCAUUAAAUCUUCAAUCAUGGCGUUUAAGAGUGUGUUCAAUGAUCUCCUAAAGAUGGUUCAUCAACACACGUCCAAAGAUAAUUCAAUGAUGGUGAUGAUUAAUUCCGGAAGUAAGGGUAGCAUGUGGAAGUUUGUGCAACAAACUGCAUGUGUCGGUCUUCAACUUCCAGGAAGCAAAUUUCCCUUUAGAAUUCCUCCAGAACUCUCGUGUGCUAGCUGCAAUAGACAUAAAUCAUUGAAUGCUGGGAGCACGGCUGAAUGCUUGGGAGGCCAAAACCUAUAUGCUGUGAUAAGGAAUUCUUUUGCAGGUGGUUUAAAUCCAUUGGAGUGUCUUCUUCAUUCAAUAUCUGGUAGAGAAAAUUUCUUCAGUGCGAAUGCAGAUGUUCCUGGGGCAUUAACAAGAAAACUAAUGUCACCUGAGGGAUGUAUAUGUUGCUUAUGA
rnacentral:rRNA from 1 species